rnacentral:rRNA from 1 species
GGGGCUGCUCCUAGUACGAGAGGACCGGAGUGGACGCAUCACUGGUGUUCGGGUUGUCAUGCCAAUGGCACUGCCCGGUAGCUAAAUGCGGAAGAGAUAAGUGCUGAAAGCAUCUAAGCACGAAACUUGCCCCGAGAUGAGUUCUCCCUGAGACUUUAAGUCUCCUGAAGGAACGUUAAAGACGAUGACGUUGAUAGGCCGGGUGUGUAAGCGCAGCGAUGCGUUGAGCUAACCGGUACUAAUGAACCGUGAGGCUUAACCUUACAACGCCGAAG